GCCGAGGUACUCUAACGGUAAGGGACUGGUCUCGAAAACCAGCGGUCGCAAGGCCUUAGGAGUUCAAGUCUCCUCCUCGGCGCCA
rnacentral:tRNA from 1 species